rnacentral:rRNA from 1 species
CGACAUAAACAAUCCUUCGGGUGCGCUUAUGGGCGGCGAGCGGCGGACGGGUGAGUAAUGCCUGGGAAUAUGCCCUGAUGUGGGGGAUAACCAUUGGAAACGAUGGCUAAUACCGCAUAAUCUCUUCGGAGCAAAGAGGGGGACCUUCGGGCCUCUCGCGUCAGGAUUAGCCCAGGUGAGAUUAGCUAGUUGGUGAGGUAAGAGCUCACCAAGGCGACGAUCUCUAGCUGGUCUGAGAGGAUGAUCAGCCACACUGGAACUGAGACACGGUCCAGACUCCUACGGGAGGCAGCAGUGGGGAAUAUUGCACAAUGGGGGAAACCCUGAUGCAGCCAUGCCGCGUGUGUGAAGAAGGCCUUCGGGUUGUAAAGCACUUUCAGUCGUGAGGAAGGCAUAUGCGUUAAUAGCGCAUGUGUUUGACGUUAGCGACAGAAGAAGCACC